GAUGAACGCUUGCGGCAGGCUUAAUACAUGCAAGUCGGACGGUAACAGGGUCUUCGGACUGCUGACGAGUGGCGGAUGGGUGAGUAACGCGUAUGCAACCUUCCUCACACCGAGAAAAAGUCGACUGAAAAGUUGAAUAAAGUCUCGUGGUGUGCAUUUCUCGCAUGAGAGAUGUAUGAUAGAAGCAAUUUGGUGUGAGAUGGGCAUGCGUAUCAUUAGCUAGUUGGUAAGGUAACGGCUUACCAAGGCGACGAUGAUUAGGGGGCCUGAGAGGGUGGUCCCCCACACUGGGACUGAGACACGGCCCAGACUCCUACGGGAGGCAGCAGUAGGGAAUAUUGGUCAAUGGGCGGAAGCCUGAACCAGCCAUGCCGCGUGAUGGAUGACGGCCUUAGGGUUGUAAACAUCUUUUCUGCCAGAGGAAUAGAGUUCACGUGUGGACAGACGACUGUAUAGCAGGAAUAAGGAUCGGCUAACUCCGUGCCAGCAGCCGCGGUAAUACGGAGGAUUCGAGCGUUAUCCGGAUUUACUGGGUUUAAAGGGUGCGCAGGCGGGCUCUUAAGUCAGCGGUGAAAUGUCUGGGCUUACCCUAGGAAUUGCCGUUGAUACUGGGAGUCUUGGAUAAGCAUAAGGACGGCGGAAUGCGUAGUGUAGCGGUGAGAUGCUUAGAUAUUACGUAGAAGACCAAUUGCGAAGGCAGCUGUCUGGGUCUUUAUCGACGCUCAAGCACGAAAGCGUGGGGAGCAAACAGG
rnacentral:rRNA from 1 species